AGACGCUGCGCGGGAGAGACCGACGGUGGUUACCGUCGGCGCCGAAGGAGCAACCGCCCCGGAAACUCUCAGGCAAAAGGACCGCUCGCAGCGG
rnacentral:ncRNA from 1 species